GCAUGUUUGUUUGAGUGUCGCAAUCUUCUGCAGCAAUGCGAUUUGACACGUGUCUUUGUUGACCGAGUUUAAACAGAGCUAGAGGAUGGUCAGUUUGGACUAGUCCGAGUGCUAAGCAUUCUUGGGUCUAGGACGGAUUGGCUGUUAAAUCUAACUUUUUAUUUGGCCUCAAAUCAAGCAAGACUACCCGCUGAACUUAA
rnacentral:misc_RNA from 1 species